rnacentral:rRNA from 1 species
AUUGAACGCUGGCGGCGUGCUUAACACAUGCAAGUCGAUCGGUAACAGGUGUAGCAAUACAUGCUGACGAGAGGCGGACGGGUGAGGAACGCUUGGGAAUCUGCCUAUCAGCGGGGGACAACCCGGGGAAACUCGGGCUAAUACCGCAUACGCUCUACGGAGGAAAGCCGGGGACCGCAAGGCCUGGCACUGAUAGAUGAGCCCAAGUCGGAUUAGCUAGUUGGCGGGGUAACGGCCCACCAAGGCGACGAUCCGUAGCUGGUCUGAGAGGACGAUCAGCCACACCGGAACUGAGACACGGUCCGGACUCCUACGGGAGGCAGCAGUGGGGAAUAUUGGACAAUGGGGGAAACCCUGAUCCAGCGACGCCGCGUGGGUGAAGAAGGCCUGCGGGUUGUAAAGCCCUUCCGGUAGGGAAGAAAUCUCUUGCUCUAACAAAGCAGGAGUUUGACUUAACCUACAUAAGAAGCACCGGCUAACUCUGUGCCAGCAGCCGCGGUAACAC